UGAGAAAAUUAGAGUGUUCAAAGCAGGUAUUUGCUUGAAUAUAUUAGCAUGGAAUAAUCAUGUAUGAUUUUCAUGAUGUAUUUGAUUGGUUUGGUUCAUGAGAAUAAGAUUAAAAGGGACAGUUGGGGGUAUUCAUAUUCAAUAGUCAGAGGUGAAAUUCUCGGAUUUAUGGAAGAUGAACAAGUGCGAAAGCAUUUACCAAGGAUGUUUUCAUUAAUCAAGAACGAAAGUUAGGGGAUCGAAGAGGAUUAGAUACCCUCGUAGUCUUAA
rnacentral:rRNA from 1 species